rnacentral:siRNA from 1 species
UCUCUUUUCAGUUGGUACGUCA